rnacentral:rRNA from 1 species
GCAAGUCGAACGGUGAUGAGGAGCUUGCUUCUCUGAUCAGUGGCGAACGGGUGAGUAACACGUGAGUAACCUGCCCCCGACUCUGGGAUAAGCACUGGAAACGGUGUCUAAUACCGGAUACGAGCUUCAGCCGCAUGGCUAGGAGUUGGAAAGAAUUUCGGUUGGGGAUGGACUCGCGGCCUAUCAGCUAGUUGGUGAGGUAAUGGCUCACCAAGGCGACGACGGGUAGCCGGCCUGAGAGGGUGACCGGCCACACUGGGACUGAGACACGGCCCAGACUCCUACGGGAGGCAGCAGUGGGGAAUAUUGCACAAUGGGCGCAAGCCUGAUGCAGCAACGCCGCGUGAGGGACGACGGCCUUCGGGUUGUAAACCUCUUUUAGUAGGGAAGAAGCGAAAGUGACGGUACCUGCAGAAAAAGCACCGGCUAACUACGUGCCAGCAGCCGCGGUAAUACGUAGGGUGCAAGCGUUGUCCGGAAUUAUUGGGCGUAAAGAGCUCGUAGGCGGUUUGUCGCGUCUGCUGUGAAAACCCGAGGCUCAACCUCGGGCCUGCAGUGGGUACGGGCAGACUAGAGUGCGGUAGGGGAGAUUGGAAUUCCUGGUGUAGCGGUGGAAUGCGCAGAUAUCAGGAGGAACACCAAUGGCGAAGGCAGAUCUCUGGGCCGUAACUGACGCUGAGGAGCGAAAGCAUGGGGAGCGAACAGGAUUAGAUACCCUGGUAGUCCAUGCCGUAAACGUUGGGAACUAGAUGUGGGGACCAUUCCACGGU